GGUAGUCCACGCCGUAAACGAUGUCGACUUGGAGGUUGUGCCCUUGAGGCGUGGCUUCCGGAGCUAACGCGUUAAGUCGACCGCCUGGGGAGUACGGCCGCAAGGUUAAAACUCAAAUGAAUUGACGGGGGCCCGCACAAGCGGUGGAGCAUGUGGUUUAAUUCGAUGCAACGCGAAGAACCUUACCUACUCUUGACAUCCAGAGAACUUAGCAGAGAUGCUUUGGUGCCUUCGGGAACUCUGAGACAGGUGCUGCAUGGCUGUCGUCAGCUCGUGUUGUGAAAUGUUGGGUUAAGUCCCGCAACGAGCGCAACCCUUAUCCUUUGUUGCCAGCGGUUAGGCCGGGAACUCAAAGGAGACUGCCAGUGAUAAACUGGAGGAAGGUGGGGAUGACGUCAAGUCAUCAUGGCCCUUACGAGUAGGGCUACACACGUGCUACAAUGGCGCAUACAAAGAGAAGCGACCUCGCGAGAGCAAGCGGACCUCAUAAAGUGCGUCGUAGUCCGGAUUGGAGUCUGCAACUCGACUCCAUGAAGUCGGAAUCGCUAGUAAUCGUAGAUCAGAAUGCUACGGUGAAUACGUUCCCGGGCCUUGUACACACCGCCCGUCACACCAUGGGAGUGGGUUGCAAAAGAAGUAGGUAGCUUAACCUUCGGGAGGGCGCUUACCACUUUGUGGUUCAUGACUGGGGUGAAGUCGUAACAAGGUAACCGUAGGGGAACCUGC
rnacentral:rRNA from 1 species